UACGGGGGGGGGCAAGCGUUUGUUCGGAAUUACUGGGCGUAAAGGGCUCGUAGGCGGCCAACUAAGUCGGACGUGAAAUCCCUCAGCUUAACUGGGGAACUGCGUCUGAUACUGGAUGGCUUGGAUUCGGGAGAGGGAUGCGGAAUUCCAGGUGUAGCGGUGAAAUGCGUAGAUAUCUGGAGGAACACCGGUGGCGAAGGCGGCAUCCUGGACCGAUAUUGACGCUGAGGAGCGAAAGCCAGGGGAGCAAACGGG
rnacentral:rRNA from 1 species